rnacentral:misc_RNA from 1 species
GAUGAAGAACGUAGCGAAAUGCGAUAAGUAAUGUGAAUUGCAGAAUUCAGUGAAUCAUCGAAUCUUUGAACGCACAUUGCGCCCAUUAGUAUUCUAGUGGGCAUGCCUGUUCGAGCGUCAUUUCAACCCUUAAGCUUAGCUUAGUGUUGGGAGACUGCCUAACCGCAGCUCCUCAAAUACAGUUGGCAGAGUGUAUGUGUGCUCUGAGCGUAGUAAUUUAUUCUCGCUUCUGAAAACUAUAUACUGUAGCCACAACCUAUUAUUUUUUAAUGGUUGACCUCGGAUCAGGUAGGAAUACCCGCUGAACUUAAGCAUAUCAAUAAGCGGAGGA